GAAAAUAGAUGUUCCCUUAGUUCUUGAGACAGAGAUGCUGAGUUGUAGGAGAAAAGCCUACAAUAGAUCCAACCAGAGAGGAGGGUCUGGAGGCUAUGCCCUUCCCUUUCCCUGAGCAUUCAAGAAAGAGGCUAAAAUAAGCACUGUUGGCUCAAUGGUGGCCGAGGGAAGAGCUUCCAGGGGCAGGAACAAGCCCCUUGUGGCCAUCUACAGCUCAGACGGGAGAGUGGGGGAGGGAGGCAGAUCUAUCAUCUGAGGCCACUUCCUUCUCUCCUUUGAAACUAGCCUUUCAAGUGAGAAAAGAGGCUGUACCAGGAUGAAAGGACAAUUAUGGCCUCCCUGUAGUCAACAAGAAUGUCGGCCGGCCCCUCAAAUUUAGGUGAGCAUGCACUGUGCAGCAUGAGGCUUCUCAUUCGGGCUUGGAAGUACAUGGGAACCCCCAAAGUAAAGCAGCCACUGAUGAGUAAAUCGCUCCUUGUUAUCUGAACAACAUUUUGCAGAG
rnacentral:lncRNA from 1 species